rnacentral:rRNA from 1 species
AACGGGGCUAAGUCAAUAACCGAAGCCGCGGAUUCGCAGCAAUGCGAGUGGUAGGGGAGCGUUCUGUAAGCCUGCGAAGGCGGAUCUGCGAGGACCGCUGGAGGUAUCAGAAGUGCGAAUGCUGACAUGAGUAACGUUAAAGCGGGUGAAAAGCCCGCUCGCCGUAAGCCCAAGGUUUCCUGCUCUACGUUCAUCGGAGCAGGGUGAGUCGGCCCCUAAGGCCAGGCUGAGAAGCGUAGUCGAUGGGAAGCUGAUUAAUAUUUCAGCACCGCUGUUGAGUGCGAAGGGGGGACGGAGUUUUGCAAGUAAUCCGGGUGUUGGAUGUCCCGGUUGGCGAGCGUAGGAGGUGAGCAGGCAAAUCCGCUCACGAAUCUCCGAGACGAAGCCUCGAGGUCCUUUAGGACUGAAGUUACCGAAUGAACUUCCAGGAAAAGCCUCUAAGCUCCAGCUCAACGGUGACCGUACCGUAAACCGACACAGGUGGGCGAGUUGAAUAUACUCAGGCGCUUGAGAGAACUCGGGAGAAGGAACUCGGCAAAUUGACACCGUAACUUCGGGAUAAGGUGUGCCUUGGUAGCGUGAAAGGAGAAACUCCCCAAGCGUGAAGAGGUCACAGAGAAUAGGGGGCUGCGACUGUUUACUAAAAACACAGCACUCUGCAAAGACGAAAGUCGACGUAUAGGGUGUGAUGCCUGCCCGGUGCUGGAAGAUUAAUUGAUGGGGUGCAAGCUCCUGAUCGAAGUCCCAGUAAACGGCGGCCGUAACUAUAACGGUCCUAAGGUAGCGAAAUUCCUUGUCGGGUAAGUUCCGACCUGCACGAAUGGCAUAACGAUGGCCCCACUGUCUCCUCCCGAGACUCAGUGAAGUUGAAAUGUUUGUGAUGAUGCAAUCUCCCCGCGGCUAGACGGAAAGACCCCAUGAACCUUUACUGCAGCUUUGCAUUGGACUUUGAACCGAUCUGUGUAGGAUAGGCGGGAGGCAAUGAAACUUUGACGCCAGUCAGAGUGGAGCCGACGUUGAAAUACCGCCCUGAUUUGUUUGAGGUUCUAACCGCAGACAGUGAGCCUGUCUCGGGACCGUGCAUGGUAGGCAGUUUGACUGGGGCGGUCUCCUCCUAAAGGGUAACGGAGGAGUACAAAGGUACGCUAGGUACGGUCGGAAAUCGUGCUGAUAGUGCAAUGGCGCAAGCGUGCUUGACUGCGAGACCGACAAGUCGAGCAGAUGCGAAAGCAGGUCAUAGUGAUCCGGUGGCACUGAAUGGAAGGGCCAUCGCUCAACGGAUAAAAGGUACUCUGGGGAUAACAGGCUGAUACCGCCCAAGAGUUCAUAUCGACGGCGGUGUUUGGCAC